GUGGUUUUUACGUAGCGCUGUUGUAGUGUUUCUGGGGGGUUUUCUUUGGUUUUGUGUGUUUGUCUGUUUUUGUCUUUUUGUUUGUCUGUUUUUGUGCAUUGGCUUGUGCUGCCUUGUGCGGUGUCUUGUGCGGUGCCGUGGCAGUACAAACGGAUCGACGGCAACACUCGGACCAGACCCAAGAACCCUUGCAGACAAUAGACGUCUUUGCUUGCUUUGAUGAAACCAAAUCAAAAA
rnacentral:misc_RNA from 1 species